CAAUUCACAGCUGAUCAUGUUGGAUCUAGUUCUUGUCUCCUCCACAGUUGCCUUUUUUUUCUCUUUACUUUUUUUCUGACCGUGCCCUGUGGCAUGUGGGAUCUUCUCCCCACCUGGGAUUGAACUCAGGCUCCCUGCAUCGGGAGAGUGAAGCCUUCACCACUGGACAACCAGGAAAGUCACUCUUAUGUUGAUUUCCAUUUUCUGUGGCAGAGACUUUCUUCUUUGGGCUUGCCAUCUCUUGGCUCUCUGCUCAUAAUCAAGAAGUGUUAGUCGCUCAGUCGUGUCCAUCUCUUUGUGACCCCACUGACUGUAGCCCACCAGGCUCCUCUGUCCAUGGANNUCUCCAGGCAAGAAUAUUGGAGUGGGUUGCCACUUCCUUCUCCAGGGAAUAAUCAAGAAAGUGUGAGGCUAAAAACGGAUUCACACUGAGCCUGUGGGAAGGACUUUUCAACUGUGAAUUUCAUUGAAUAGGAGUCUGGGUGGGUCAUUUAUCGGGGAAACUCUGAGGUCGGUGCCUUUAGGUCUUGAUCUUACGUCAGAGUCUGGAAAGGAGUUUCAGUUUCUUUUCUGGAGGGUAAAUGUCUGGCUGCCAGCACGCUGGGAGUUGUGCCGGGGAAGAAGGCUAGAGGUGUCUGCAUUCAGCGAUUCACGAGCCAUCUGCUCUCAUGGCACCCCUGCUCUUUUUCUUGGGCUGGAAUUUCUGAACGAGAUCAAAGGUUCACCCUGUUGCUUGCCAUCUCAGGCUUCCCAUAGUCCUUGCCGAGAAGCAUCUUUGAGGGCCAGUAUCCUACAUAUUCCUAAACCGAUCCACCCUCCAAACCAUAGCUGGCUGGGUUGGAGCUGGACAACAGACCCACAGGUGGCCAAUCAGUAGCUUGGCCUGUGGCCUAAACAAAACAAGACAAUCUCUUUCUUUCCAGAACUUGGAAUCAUGAAGGAUAAGAAUAUUAGCAUGGGAACUGAAAGCUGAAGCUUAUGAUAUAAAGAUGUGCUGGAAAGGUCAUGGUGGAUUGUAGGUAAACUGAAGUUGUGAGAUAGUAGAAAUGACUAGUGAGUAGCAGGUUUGGCUUAGAGAAUAGAUACAGUGAUUAGACUAGGAAGCAAGUAGUUAGAGCAAAUAAUAUAAAUAAAUAAAUGUUCACCAGAAAAUAACAAACAUGAGAAACAGACCAUGUAGCAAUUGGAAAGGGGGAGAGACAGAGAGAGUAGUGGUUUCCUAGGGUUGCUGCUGGGGCUGGCAGCUUGCCAGGUUCUAUCCAUGUAUUUGUGUAUAAGUUCUGCUGCUUAGAACAGGAAGUCUGUGUUAGUGACUUAGCCUAAAGAGGGUUUGUGGUCGUCAGGUAGCAAGAAGUCUGGAGGCAGGCAUUCAGGGCUGGAGUCACAGCUCCACACUACGACCUACCAGGCUCCUCCAGCUUUGCUCUUUACCCUCCUUGACAUGUGGCUUUCCUCCUGAUAUUAGCCAUCUCAUGGCCUCCGGCAUCACAUCCAUUUGCAUGCCCGAAGAAGUGAUGAAGAGAAAUGUGUUUUCCAUACAUAAAUCUCAGGGAUUCAAAACUUCUGCUUUUAUCUUAUUGGCCUGAACAGUAGCAUUUUUGUGGACUCCUGGCCACAAAAAUGGUAGAAAAUAGAGUCUCUCCCUCUUCCCCUUUUCUCUUUUCCCCUCCCUUCCUUCCUCUUUUCCUCCUUUUUUUCCAGGGAAUGUGUCGUUCCAUUGUGCUCUGGAGUAAGGGUGAGGGUUAAAAUUUGGAGCAC
ensembl:lncRNA